UAGGGAAUAUUGGGCAAUGGGCGAAAGCCUGACCCAGCCAUGCCGCGUGAGCGAUGACGGUCCUCGAGAUUGUAAAGCUCUUUUCUGAGGAAAGAACAUCCCGGGUAGGAAAUGCCCCGGGCUUGACGGUACCUCAGGAAUAAGGAACGGCUAACUCCGUGCCAGCAGCCGCGGUAAUACGGAGGUUCCAAGCGUUGUUCGGAAUUACUGGGCGUAAAGGGAGCGCAGGCGGACAAGUCAGUCUAAAGUGAAAUCCCGGGGCUUAACCUCGGACUUGCUUCGGAUACUGCUUGUCUUGAGUUCGUGAUAGGAAGAUGGAAUUCAGGGUGUAGCGGUGAAAUGCACAGAUAUCCUGAGGAACACCGGUGGCGAAAGCGGUCUUCUGGCGCGAAACUGACGCUGAGGCUCGAAAGCGUGGGUAGCAAACGG
rnacentral:rRNA from 1 species